rnacentral:rRNA from 1 species
AUUGAACGCUGGCGGCAGGCCUAAUACAUGCAAGUCGAGCGGAUGAAGGGAGCGUGCUCCUCUAUUCAGCGGCCGACGGGUGAGUAAUGACUACGAAGCUGACUGGUCGUUGAGAAUAACGUAAGGUAACGGGACCUAAGACCGUAUACGUCCAUAGGUAGAAAGGGAGGGAUCAACAGACCAAAAGGUAUUUGCUGACACUAAGACGUAGAUCCUCGCUGGAUUAGCUAGUUGGUAAGGUAACGGCCUACCAAGGCAACGAUGCGUAGCCGACCUGAGAGGGUGAUCAGUCACACUGGAACUGAGACACGGUCCAGACUCCUACGGGAGGCAGCAGUGGGGAAUAUUCCACAAUGGGCGAAAGCCUGACCGAGCAACGCCGCGUGAGUGAUGAAGGUCUUCGGAUUGUAAAACUCUUUAAGUUGGGAAGAAGAAAAGUAAAUUAAACCAUUCACGUCUUGACGUUACCAAAACAAUAAGCCCCGGCUAACUUCGUG